ACCACUGGCUGCUGCAUGGAAGAUUGUUUAAAGGGAAGGGGUGAAGGCAGGAGAUCAGGCAAUCUGAGAACAGGCACCAACGGCCUGGCUGAGGUGAAAUGAAUAAAUCCUUAGCAGGUUGCACCAAAUGGGAAGUAAAUGUAACAGGAAGUGUCCUGCUCCCAACAGAGACCGCUGAGAGGAGUUUGCAGAGUGCAGUGAUGGACACAAGAAUCAACAAGACAGACACAGCCUCUGCCCUCUCACUCUCUAAGAAGGGAUACAGAGAUGAAGCGAAUAAUUGCAAGUAUAAACAACAGUCCACCUACAGUGUGACAGGGAAUAGAGAAUACAGGCUUUGAAGUCAGAUUGCUCUGCAUUUCUAACUCUGCUCCCUGACUUGCAAGAUGUGUUCCUUUGGUCAGGCUUUUUUCGAUAGAUCUUUUUUAAAUUUAAAACAAAAAUCUGAGGAAUAGUUGCUAUGGACUGAAUGAUGUCCCCCACAAAAUUCCUGUGAUGAAGCUCUAAUCCCCAUGUGGCUGUAUUUGAAAACAGAGCUUGAGAAGAAGUGAUAAAGGUUAAAUGAGGUCAUAUGAGUAGGGCUCUGAUGCAGUAGAGCUGGUGCCCUUGUAAGAUGAGGAAAAGACCCCAGAGCUCCUUCUCUCUGCCAUGUGAAAAGGUAGCUGUCUGCAAGCCAGGGAGAGAACCGUCCUUGGAAACCAACCCUACCAGACCUUGACCUGGGACUUCUCCGCCCUAGAACUGUGAGAAAAUAAAUACCAGUUGUUUAAGCCACCCAGUCUAUGGUACUUUGUUAUGGCAGCGACAAGUCCUAAAACAAUAUGAUUUAGUCUGAGCUACUGGGAUGUUAAAAGACUUCAUCUGGCUUGAAUGCCUUAAUUAAGAUAACUUGUUUUUAGCAGUUAUGGGACCCUGCCUUCUUUGUGAGUAUAUAAUUCAAAACUUAAAAAGUAGUAUGAUGACAAAAGACAGAGUGCCUGUUGAUUCAGGUUUUAUCCACAAUUGUAAGUGAAACAAUGUCAUUUACAAAAUCAUCAGGGCUUUCCACUCUAGGACAAUAGGUUUCCUACGUGUCAAAUCAAAUGUUAACUCUCAUGUUUACCUCUGAUAUCUUCCUCUUCCCUCAUACAAAUCUAUAUAAAUCAAUGCAUGCAUAUGUAGGGCUGUUUUUUUCCCUGUUUCUUAUUUAACAACAUGAAAUUAAAGCCUUCUGGCUCAAGAGAGUGAACCAAACAUACACAUUUGCCGCCUGCUGUUCCAGACACCAUCACUGUGUAGAUAUUUCUGAUAUUUUUAAAAGUGGUAGGGGUGGAUAAAUUUAAAACGUCAAAGAGAACAGAAGAGAAAGCAACCAAUGGACAGUACAUUUCUGGAAGACAGAUAAAACAAAGCAGAAAAAGCCAAAGCCCAGGAAACACCCAGGAGGAGGAUGCAGAGAAGGUUGACAGAGAACCCUUGCAACAGUGUUUUACAAGGACAUCACAUCUAAAUGGCUUAGCAUGGUGUAAUUGCUCAAUAAAUGUUAACCGUUAUGUCAUUAUUCUGGAACCGGUUUCUGUCACUUGAAGUCAACAUAUACACGCGUAAUUUAUUCUUUAGUAGAGUUGUAUAAUAUUCCAUAACUUGUUCAUCCAUUUCCUUAUUUAAGAACCUUUCAAUACAAAAAUUAGCUGGGCGUGGUGGCGGGUGCCUGUAAUCCCAGCUACUCAGGAGGCUGAGGCAGGAGAAUCACUUGAACCCGGGAGGCAGAAGUUGCAGUGAGCUGAGAUCAUGCCAUUGCACUCCAGCCUGGGCAACAAGAAUGAAAUUAUGUCUCAAAAAAAAAAACCAAAACAAAAAACCCUUCAGAUUAUUUUGUGGGUUUUUUUCCUGAAUAUGUGGUCUACAAAAAAAAAAAAAAAUGGUGCAACAACAACAAAAAAUAUUGCAACAAAUUUCUGUAUGCAUCUACCCUUUAAUUGUUGGUAUUUUUUAUUUCUGGAUUUUCAAAAGUGGAACUGCUGGGUCAAAAGGAAGGUACAAGUUUAAUUUUAUUGAUUUACCCACUGAUUUAACUUUCCUAAGGAUUGUGGCAGGUCACACUCUCACCAGCAAUGCUGAGGAAAGCCUGUUUGUUAGUCCACUUGCUGUGGACUAAGUCUCCACCAAACUGAGAUUAUACAUCUACUCUCAAGCUACUAAGAUAAAAACUGAGAUGGGAGCCCAAGCAAUCUCACUCUGGACCUUCAUCUUCUAAAUAUUCAUACAAACAGCUAAUUAUGUCGACAGCAUUUAAUAAACAUCCUUUUCCACUUCAUUGAAACACAAACUUCAUGAUUGUCUUAGUCCACUUGUGUUGCUAUAAAGGAAUACCUGAGGCUUGGUAAUCUAUAAAGAAAAGAGAUUUAUUUGGCUCACAGUUCUGCAGGCUGUACAAGAAGCAUGGCGCCAGCAUCUACUUCUGGCAAGGGCUUCAGGAAGCUUUCGCUCAUGGUGGCAAGUGAAGGGGAGCCAAUAUGUGCAGAAAUCACAUGGCAAGACAGAAAGCAAGAGAGAAGGGGGUAGGCGCCAGCUUCUUUCUAACAAUCGUUUCUUACAGGAACUAACAGAGCAAGAACUCAGUCAUUACUGUGAAGACAGCACCAAACCAUUCGUGAGGGAUCCGCCCCUGUGACCCAAAACAUCUCCCAGUAGGCCUCAUCUCCAAUAUUGGGAUCAAAUAUGGGAAUGAAUAUCCAAACUACAUCAAUGAUACAAGUUCUCAAAUAUAAUCAGUCUGUCUCUGGAUUCUAUUGCAGUUGAGUUGCAAUUAUAUUGUUUUGAUUUUAGUAGCUUUAUACUAAGUAUUAUUCUCUCUCCAGUAAGGCAGGGGCUCCCUCACUACUCUUCUAAAUUUAUCCAAUAAACCUUUGCAUAUUUUUAUUCCAUACAAACACUUAAAUCAUUUGUCCAGGUCCAAAGAAAAUAUAUCUGCAUGUCUUGACUUGGAUUUCGUUAAAUGUGUUUGUUAAUUUGUUAAGAAUUGAUAUGUAUGUAUUAAAUCUCUCUUUCUGCGAAUAUGGUGUAAUGUUCUAUUUAUUUAGGUUCUUCAAUAAAAUAUUAAUGUUUCUUUUAAUACA